GUGCUUGCUUUGGCUGCACAUAUAUGAAAAUUGGAUGAUAUAGAGAAGAUUAGCAAGGCCCAUGUGCAAGAAUGACACACAAAUUUGUGGUGUUCCAUAUUUUU